AAGGCGCCGCCCAGCGCCCCUUGCCGGAGCUCCGCGCAGAGGCGGCUGCUGCUCGGCUCGGCUCGGCUCGGCUCGGCUCGGCUCGGCUCGGCUCGGCUCGGGGCCGCGCCCGGGGCCCUGCCUGACCCGCCCGGGGCCUUGCCCGACCCGCCGCUGCCUCCGCUCCUGCGGGAGGCUCCGGGAAGGCCGGGCGGGCGGUGCCUGCCUGGGCACGGCUGUCCCGCAGGAGUUAGGCGUGAUGUGCUGCAUUGAGAGGUGCCUCAGGAGAGGGAGAAUUAAACGGCUCUGAGCCGGUUAUUUGGUCAGCCGACCGUACUGUCGGGGGAAAGAGAUGGAAGGUACAACACGGCUUCGCCGGGUGUUGUACUUGAACCAUCGUGUGAGUUUAACUCGGCGUGAAUCUUAGUAAGGCUUUAAAAUACCAUUUCCUUGAAGGAUAGCUACCAUGCGUUCUUCAUAGGGUGAAGUCAAGGGUUGCCACGGAAUAGCUCAUCUUUCAUGAGCAUUCCUGCAGAUCGUACCUUCACAAUGACACCUGUGUCCAUCAGGGAGGAUGCUUGGCCUCCAGAAAGAAGUGUGGCAAGCCAGAGAGCCACCCGACUCCGAACAGCAGCAGCACUCUGAAACAAGUGUAUGGCAGAAAGCCUCUGUUCAUGCAAUGCAAUAGUCCUGAGGGGAACAUAACAGGGUAUCUCAGGUGUAAUUCAGAAGAAUUGCAUAUCUUGUGUUGGUGUGGAAAAAGAAGGCUCCCUGUUCCAGGACUGCCAGCCCCAAGGUUUAAGAUGCCAGUCAACCCCAUAGCAAUUCACUUUGUGUCCCCCACUGUUAUUUUAUAAUUUUCAAUCUAUAUUACAUCUCAUCAAGCCCACUGUUUUCCACAAGUCUGAAGAUUUUUAUCACCAACAACUGUCCUUUCCAUAGGAAAAAUGCAGAAAAAAAGUUUCUACUUUUGCCAAAACAAUCCUGUACUGGUUUGUGAAUUUAAAGUUUCUAACACAACGUCUGAAGCUUAACAAAAAGUUUUCACAAGAAACCUGUCAUUUUCUUCCAACUCUGGUUUAUGUUUUAUUAGCCAUCUAGUUGUAUUUUUGACAUGCAUGUACUAUGUCUGCUUCAUUUUUGCCUGAUCUAGAGUCAGCCUGUCAAAUUUUUGGUCCAGUUCUCCCACUUAAUACGACAUGCUACUUACUGAAGACCUUUUGUGGUCCUGUUCUUGUUUUAUGUUCUUAAUUUCUCACUUGAAAUCUGCCCAUGUCCGUGCCUGUUUGUAAU
rnacentral:lncRNA from 1 species